rnacentral:rRNA from 1 species
UACGGGGGGAGCAAGCGUUGUUCGGAAUUACUGGGCGUAAAGCGCGUGUAGGCGGCAGCGCAAGUCGGGCGUGAAAUCCCACGGCUCAACCGUGGAAGUGCACUCGAAACUGCGCAGCUAGAGUCCUGGAGAGGAAGGUGGAAUGCUUGGUGUAGAGGUGAAAUUCGUAGAUAUCAAGCGGAACACCGGUGGCGAAGGCGGCCUUCUGGACAGUGACUGACGCUGAGACGCGAAAGCGUGGGGAGCAAACAGG